GACGGAGGAUGCAAGCGUUAUCCGGAAUGAUUGGGCGUAAAGCGUCCGCAGGUGGCAGUUCAAGUCUGCUGUCAAAGACCGGGGCUUAACUUCGGAAAGGCAGUGGAAACUGAACAGCUAGAGUAUGGUAGGGGCACAGGGAAUUCCUGGUGUAGCGGUGAAAUGCGUAGAGAUCAGGAAGAACAUCGGUGGCGAAGGCGCUCUGCUGGACCAUAACUGACACUCAGGGACGAAAGCUAGGGGAGCGAAUGGG
rnacentral:rRNA from 1 species